ACGCAAUAGAUACCCAGGUAGUCCACGCCGUAAACUAUGGAUGCUAGCUGUUAUCGGUAUCGACCCCGGUAGUAGCGAAAGCUAACGCGUUAAGCAUCCCGCCUGUGGAGUACGAGCGCAAGCUUAAAACAAUAAAGGAAUUGACGGGGACCCGGCACAAGCGGUGGAGCGUGUUGUUUAAUUCGACGGUAAACGAAGAACCUUACCCAGGCUUGACAUCCUGCUAAGAUUUCCGAAAGGAAAUUGUGCCUUCGGGCCGCAGUGACAGGUGCUGCAUGGUCGUCGUCAGCUCGUGUCGUGAGAUGUUUGGUUAAGUCCAUCAACGAGCGCAACCCUUAUAGUCAGUUGGAUUUUUCUGGCUAGACUGCCCCGGGUAACGGGGAGGAAGGAGGGGAUGAUGUCAGAUCAUUAUUGCCCUUACGUCUGGGGCUACAAACACGCUACAAUGGCCGGUACAAAGGGCAGCCAACCCGCGAGGGGGUAGCAAAUCCCAUCAAAGCCGGUCUCAGUUCGGAUUGUAGGCUGAAACUCGCCUGCAUGAAGCUGGAA
rnacentral:rRNA from 1 species